UGGGGAAUUUUGGACAAUGGUCGCAAGUCUGAUCCAGCCAUGCCGCGUGCGGGAAGAAGGCCUUCGGGUUGUAAACCGCUUUUGUCAGGGAAGAAACGAGUUUCUCUAAUACAGAGACUUAAUGACGGUACCUGAAGAAUAAGCACCGGCUAACUACGUGCCAGCAGCCGCGGUAAUACGUAGGGUGCAAGCGUUAAUCGGAAUUACUGGGCGUAAAGCGUGCGCAGGCGGUUAUGCAAGACAGAUGUGAAAUCCCCGGGCUCAACCUGGGAACUGCAUUUGUGACUGCAUAGCUGGAGUGCGGCAGAGGGGGAUGGAAUUCCGCGUGUAGCAGUGAAAUGCGUAGAUAUGCGGAGGAACACCGAUGGCGAAGGCAGCUUACUAUGGUUUUAUUGACGCUGAGGCACGAAAGCGUGGGGAUCAAACA
rnacentral:rRNA from 1 species